CAGGCUGGAGAGCAAAGCUCUGGUGCUUGGUUCUUACACUCUGGACAGUACCAGUGAGGCAGAAAUGGGAUGGCUCCUGAGGGAGGCCCUGUGGCUGCUGAGCCCAAGUCUCUCUCUCUGUGGGUGAGUGCCUGCGAUGCUGCUGAAUCCAUCACCUGCAGCCUGAGCAGUUUUCUAUCUGGAGCAGUGCUGUGGGUGAGUGCCUGCAAUGCUGCUGAAUCCAUCACCUGCAUCCUGAGCAGUUUUCUGUCUAAAGCAGGGCUGUGGGUGAGUGCCUGCAAUGCUGCUGAAUCCAUCACCUGCAGCCUGAGCAGUUUUCUGUCUGGAGCUGGGCUGUGGGGACAUCUUAGCAGCUACACGGAGUCACAGGCUGGACCCUUCGGGUACAGCACAGCUCCCUCCAGCCAGGCCAAGAGCAACUGGGCAGAGUCUGUCUUGCAGAUGAUCACUAAAGGAGAGUGAAAAAUUUUAAUCACCUGGACACAGCAAGGAUCACCAGAAUACAACCAGUGAUACCAAGGAAUGUGUGGGGCUGUUUUUCAGGUUGUUGAAAGAAUCAUGUCCUAGUGCCAUAUUUUUCAAACCAUGGAAUGUGGGUCAAUGCUGAUCUAUAAAAACUCUGUAAGAACUGGUCUGAAAAUAACUGCAAAUGACUUUGUAAAACAACCAUAUUUUUCAUUCUCGCUCAUUAAGCAAGCAACCAACCGAAAUGAGAGAAAUUAUAUGGAUGCUGGAAGUUUAUCCUGAUUUGAUUUGUCUUUAACUGGAAACUGUUGUGGCAACACCACAAACAUGGUUCAUUUUUUAUUGAUAAAAUCUUGGUUGGCAAAGUGGAGAAACAUCAGCCAGUGGAAACAAAUUCCUCUGUCCUUUGUUUCAACCACUCUUGGUCUAUUUCCUCCAUUAUUAUCAACCUCCUCAGUCAAUCACAUUCUUUUUGCUAUAACCAGUCCAGCCUUGACUACUGAGUACUUUUCCUUUUCCUCAUGUCAUUAGUUCACCUCAUGCCAAAAUCUCCAUUUUGCUGGGCUGAGAACAAGACAGGGAGCCAGGACA